rnacentral:lncRNA from 1 species
GGCUGGCUCGGGCGCGUCCAGGGGAAUGGGCCGGUUCGGCCCAAUUCGGCCGGGCCGGUCCGUUUCUCCUUUUUUUUUUUCCCUUUUAGCCUUUUCUUUUUUUCUUUUUCGGUAAUUCCUUUCUAACUUGAUUCUGAACUCCAAAUUGGUCCAAAUAAAUUCCAGAAAAUUUCUAAAAUUCAUGUUUUAUCAUGAUUCAACUUUUGGGACAAAAUUCCCUCCAAAAUAAAAUAGCUAAAAUCAAUUUUGCCCUAUAAAUGCCUUUUAGGCUUGAUAACUAUUUAAAUAAAAUAGUUUUUCAACUCCAAAUAAUUAUCCAAAAAUUAUGGGAUAGCUUAUUUAUGCAAUAAACCCCUUUUGUAGUUAAACCCUAUU